rnacentral:ncRNA from 1 species
UGACCUCAGAUCAGGCAAGGCUACCCGCUGAAUUUAAGCAUAUUAAUAAGCGGAGGAAAAGAAACUAACAAGGAUUCCCCUAGUAAUGGCGAAUGAAGCGGGAACAGCUCAAAUUUAAAAUCUCCGUUGCUUGCAACGGCGAAUUGUAGUUUCGAGAAGCACUUUCUCGGCGGAUCCGAGGUCGUCCAAGUUGCUUGGAACAGCACGUCGUAGAGGGUGAAAACCCCGUCUGCGGCGACCUCGGCCGUUCACGAUGUGCUUUCGACGAGUCGGGUUGUUUGGGAAUGCAGCCCAAAAUGGGUGGUAAACUCCAUCUAA